GGAUAAGCUUGGGAAACUGGGUCUAAUACCGGAUAGGAGCCAUCUUUAGUGUGGUGGUUGGAAAGUUUUUUCGGUGUAGGAUGAGCUCGCGGCCUAUCAGCUUGUUGGUGGGGUAAUGGCCUACCAAGGCGGCGACGGGUAGCCGGCCUGAGAGGGUGUACGGCCACAUUGGGACUGAGAUACGGCCCAG
rnacentral:rRNA from 1 species